CCUACGGGAGGCAGCAGUGAGGAAUAUUGGUCAAUGGGCGCGAGCCUGAACCAGCCAAGUAGCGUGAAGGAUGACUGCCCUACGGGUUGUAAACUUCUUUUAUAAGGGAAUAAAGUGAGGCACGUGUGCUUCUUUGCAUGUACUUUAUGAAUAAGGAUCGGCUAACUCCGUGCCAGCAGCCGCGGUAAUACGGAGGAUCCGAGCGUUAUCCGGGUUUAUUGGGUUUAAAGGGAGCGUAGUUGGGUUGUUAAGUCAGUUGUGAAAGUUUGCGGCUCAACCGUGAAAUUGCAAUUGAUACUGGAAGCCUUGAGUACAGUUGAGGUAGGCGGAAUUCGUGGUGUAGCGGUGAAAUGCUUAGAUAUCACGAAGAACUCCGAUUGCGAAGGCAGCCUACUAGACUGCCACUGACAUUGAUGCUCGAAAGUGCGGGUAUCAAACAGGAUUAGAUACCCCAGUAGUC
rnacentral:rRNA from 1 species